UUUUUUUUUUUUUUUUCUUUUUUUGCUGUACGCGGGCCUCUCACUGUUGUGGCCUCUCCCGUUGCGGAGCAUAGGCUCCGGACACACAGGCUCAGCGGCCAUGGCUCACGGGCCCAGCUGCUCCGCGGCACGCAGGAUCCUCCCGGACCGGGGCACGAACCCGUGUCCCCUGCAUCGGCAGGCGGACUCUCAACCACUGCGCCACCAGGGAAGCCCCUCAUUGUAGUUUUGAUUUGCAUUUCUGUAAUGAUUAGUGAUAUUGAGCAUUCUUUCAUGUGUUUGUUGGCAAUCUGUAUAUCUUCUUUGGGGAAAUUUCUAUUUAGGUCUUCUGCCCAUUUUUGGAUUGGGUUGUUUGUUGUUUUGAUAUUGAGCUGCUUGUAUAUUUUGGAGAUUAAUCCUUUCUCAGUUGCUUCAUUUUCAAAUAUUUUCUCCCAUUCUGACGGUUGUCUUUUCGUCUUGUUUAUGGUUUCCUUUGCUGUGCAAAAGCUUUGUAGUUUCAUUAGGUCCCGUUUGUUUAUUUUUGGUUCUAUUUCCAUUUCUCUAGGAGGAGGGUCAAAAAAGAUCUUGCUGUGAUUUAUGUCAUAGAGUGUUCUGCCUAUGUUUUCCUCUAAGAGUUUGAUAGUGUCUGGCCUUACAUUUAGGUCUUUAAUCCAUUUUGAGUUUAUUUUUGUGUGUGGUGUUAGGGAGUGUUCUAAUUUCAUUCUUUUACAUGUAGCUGUCCAGUUUUCCCAGCACGACUUAUUGAAGAGGCUAUCUUUUCUCCAUUGUAUAUUCUUACCUCCUUUAUCAAAGAUAAGGUGACCAUAUGUAUAGUGGAAUAACUGAGGACAUGGAAAGGAGACGUGACCCAUGAGCCCCCCCCCGCCAGCAAACUGGGGGCUGGCGAAUAAGCCAGAACUGCCAAGAGUCCUGAUUGGUUUGAGCCCCCCCCCGGCAAACCGGGGGCAUGCGAAUAAGCCAGAACUGUGAACAGUCCUGAAUGCUUUGAGCUCCCCCCCCACCCACAGCAAACCAGGGGCCUGCGAGUGCUAAGCAUUGAGUGCUUUGGGCACUGAUCCAUGAGAUGUCCUCAGUAUAAUCAGAAUGGUGGGAACGCAAGGAAGUGUCCUUGUGCUACUUCAGUAUAAUCAAAAUAAUGGUGGGAACUUUGUGCUGCUUUUGCGCUCAAGGACGAAGGACGGCAUGUUUUCAAGAAAGCCCUUUAUUGCUUGUAUAAUCAAUAGAAGCAUAUCUUGCUGCUUUGACAUUUCUGAAAUGUUAAGAAAACAAGUCUUAAAAUGUAAACAUAGAUAAUGCUUUAAUAAAAGCUACCGCAGCAGGACAGACGGCGCUGUUUUGCCUGAGCGAGCGGCAGCCCUCUACUGCUGUGCUUCGGCACAAUUCAUCUCGUGUGAUGAGCUUGCUUUCGGCCCUGUCAUAAGAUAAACUACAACACAUAUGUGCAUGGGUUUAUCUCUGGGCUUUCUAUCCUGUUCCAUUGAUCUAUAUUUCUGUUUUUGUGCCAGUACCAUACUCUCUUGAUUACUGUAGCUUUGUAGUAUAGUCUGAAGUCAGGGAACCUGAUUCCUCCAGUUCCAUUUUUCUUUGUCAAGAUUGCUUUGGGGCUUCCCUGGUGGCACAGUGGUUAAGAAUCCACCUGCCAAUGCAGGGGACACGGGUUCAAGCCCUGGUCCAGGAAGAUCCCAUAUGCCACAGAGCAACUAAGCCCGUGUGCCACAACUACUGAGCCUGUGCUCUAGAGCCCACAAGCCACAAAUACUGAACCCACAUGCCACAGCUACUGAAGCCUGUGUGCCUAGAGCCUGUGUUCCUCAACAAGAGAAGCCACCACAGUGAGAAGCCUGUGCACCUCAACAAAGAGUAGCCCCCGCUUGCCGUGACUAGAGAAAGCCUGCACACAGCAAUGAAGACCCAAUGCAGCCAAAAAUAAAUAAAUUAAAUAAAUAAAUUUAAAAAAAAAGAUUGCUUUGGCUCUUUGGGGUCUUUUGUGUUUCCAUACAAACUGUGAAAUUUUUUGUUCUAGUUCUGUGGAAAAUGCCAUUGUUAAUUUGAUAGGGAUUGCACUGAAUCUGUAGAUUGCUUUGGGCAGUAUAGACAUUUUCACAAUGUUGAUUCUUCCAAUCCAAGAAUACGGUAUAUCUCUCCAACUGUUUAUAUCAUCUUUAAUUUCUUUCAUCAGUGUCUUAUAGUUGUCUGCAUACAGGUCUUUUGUUUCCUUAGUAGAUUUAUUCCUAGGUAUUUUAUUCUUUUUGUUGCACUGGUAAAUGGGGGUGUUUCCUUAGUUUCUCUUUCAGAUUUUUCAUCAUUAGUGUAUAGGAAUGCAAGAGAUUUCUAUGCAUUAACUUUGUAUCCUGCUACUUUACCAAAUUCAUUGAUUAGCUCUAGUAGUUUUCUGGUAGCAUCUUAAGGCUCCUCUAUGUAUAGUAUCAUGUCAUCUUCAAACAGUGACAGUUUUACUUCUUCUUUUCUGAUUUGGAUUCCUUUUAUUUCUUUUUCUUCUCUGAUUGCUGUGGGUAAAACUUCCAAAACUAUGUUGAGUAAUAGUGGUGAGAGUGGGCAACCUUGUCUUGUUCCUGAUCUUAGUGGAAAUGGUUUCAGUUUUUCACCAUUGAGAAUGAUGUUGGCUGUGGGUUUGUCAUAUAUGGCCUUUAUUUUGCAUUUAUUGAAAAGCUCUUUCAUUCCCCCACUGAAUUGUGUUAAUAUCUUUGUCAUAAAUAAAGUGAUCAUAUAUAUGUGGUCUGUUUCUGGACUCACUAUUGGAUUCCAUUUCUCUAUCUUUUAUGUCGGUACCACUCUGUCGUAAGUUUACCUUUAUGGUAAAUCUUGAAAUCUGGUAAUCUCACUGGUCUCUAGCCUCAGUUCCACUAUUACCUCACUGGUCCAUUGUCACUGCUGGUUAAUGUAGAUCAAAUUCAUUCCUCGAGGUAUAUUUUUAAUAUUUUUUUUACAGCAUAACUUUCUUAUAAUUGUGAUACAGAAUUAUGCACACACACACACACACACACUUUUUAAAAUAUUUAUUUAUUUAUUUUAUUUUUGGCUGCGUCAGAUCUUAGUUGCAGCACGUGGGCUUAGUUGCCCCACAGCAUGUGGGAUCUUAGUUCCCUGACCAGGGAUCAAACCUGAGUCCCCUGCACUGGAAGGUGGACUCCCAACCACUGGACCACCAGGGAAGUCCCUGACACACACACUUUUUAGCUCUAACUCUGGUUCACAGGAAAUGCAGGGAACACAGGAACAUGUUGAAUGACAGAAAGAGGACUCAACCAGCCAAAUGAAAAUGACAAAUGACUUGGUUUACAAAUUAAUGGCUUUUUUUAAAAGAAAAGGAAGGGGAUCAUUAUAGAUUAAAAGAUAUUUAAGACACUUGUCAACCAAAGGCAAUGGAUGAAGUUUGUUUAUUCUUUUUUCUUUAUUCUGCUCUGCAGUAGUUAUUUCCACUAUUUUAUCUUCCAGGUCACUUAUCCGUUCUUCUGCCUCAGUUAUUCUGCUAUUGAUCCCUUCUAGAGUAUUUUUCAUUUAAUUUACUGUGUUGUUCAUCGUUGCUUGUUUCCUCUUUAGUUCUUCUAGGUCCUUGUUAAAUUUUUCUUGCAUUUUGUCUAUUCUAUUUCCAAGAUUUUGGAUCAUCUUUACUAUCAUUAUUCUGAAUUCUUUUUCAGGUAGACUGCCUAUUUCCUCUUUAUUUGUUAGGUCUGAUGGGUUUUUAUCUUGCUCCUUCAUCUGCCGUGUGUUUUUCUGUCUUCUCAUUUUGCUUAUCUUACUGUGUUUGGGGUCCCCUUUCGCAGGCUGCAGGUUCUUAGUUCCCGUUGUUUUUGGUGUCUGCCCUCAGUGGCUGAGGUUGGUUUAGUGGGUUGUGUAGGCUUCCUGGUGGAGGGGACUGGUGCCUGUGUUCUGGUGGAUGAGGCUGGAUCUUGUCUUUCUGGUGGGCAGGUCCACGUCUGGUGGUGUGUUUUGGGGUGUCUGUGGACUUAUUAUGAUUUUAGGCAGCCUCUCUGCUAAUGGGUGGGGUUGUGUUCCUGUCUUGCUAGUUGUUUGGCAUAGGGUGUCCAGCACUGUAGCUUGCUGGUCGUUGAGUGAAGCUGGGUGUUGGUGUUGAGAUGGAGAUCUCUGGGAGAUAUUCGCCGUUUGAUAUUACGUGGAGCUGGGAGGUCUCUUGUGGACCAGUGUCCUAAAGUUGGCUCUCCCACGUCAGAGGCACAGCACUGACUCCUGGCUACAGCACCAAGAGCCUUUCAUCCACACGGCUCAGAAUAAAAGGGAGAAAAAGUAGAAAGAAAGAAAGAAAGAAAAAAAAGAGGAUAAAAUAAAAUAAAGAUAAAAUAAAGUUAUUAAAAUAAAAAAUAAUUAUUAAGAAAUUUUUUUUAUUUUUAAAGUAAAAACAAACAAACAAAAAAACCGGACGGACAGAACCCUAGGACAAAUGGUGAAAGCAAAGCUAUACAGACAAAAUCUCACACAGAAGCAUACACAUACUCACAAAAGGAGGAAAAGGGGAAAAAAUAAUAUAUCUUGCUCUCAAAGUCCACCUCCUCAAUUAGGGGUGAUUCGUUGUCUGUUCAUGUAUUCCACAGAUGCAGGGUACAUCAAGUUGAUUGUGGAGAUUUAAUCCGCUGCUCCUGAGGCUGCUGGGAGAAAUUUCCCUUUCUCUUCUUUGUUCGCACAGCUCCCGGGGUUCAGCUUUGGAUAUGGCCCCGCCUCUGCAUGUAAAUCGCCGGAGGCCGUCUGUUCUUGGCUCAGACAGGACGGGGUUAAAGGAGCCGCUGACUCGGGGGCUCUGGCUCACUCAGGCCGGGCGGGGUGGGGGGGGAGGGAGGGAGGGAGGGAGGGGCACGGAGUGCGGAGCGAGCCUGCGGCGGCAUAGGCCUGCGUGACGUUGCACCAGCCUGAGGCGCGCCGUGCGUUCUCCCGGGGAAGUUGUCCCUGGAUCCCGGGACCCUGGCAGUGGCGGGCUGCACAGGCUCCCCGGAAGGGAGGUGUGGAUAGUAACCUGUGCUUGCACACAGGCUUCUUGGUGGCGGCAGCAGCAGCCUUAGCGUCUCAUGCCCGUCUCUGGGGUCCGCGCUUUUAGCAGCGGCUCGCGCCGUCUCUGGAGCUCCUUUAAGCCGCGCUCUUAAUCCCCUCUCCUCGCGCACCAGGAAACAAAGAGGGAAGAAAAAGUCUCUUGCCUCUUCGGCAGCUCCAGACCUUUUCCCGGACUCCCUCCCGGCUAGCCAUGGCGCACUAACCCCUUCAGGCUGUGUGCACGCCGCCAACCCCAGUCCUCUCCCUGGGAUCCGACCGAAGCCCGAGCUUCAGUUCCCAGCCCCGCCCGCCCCGGCGGGUGAGCAGACAAGCCUCUCGGGCUGGUGAGUGCUGGUCGCACCGAUCCUCUGCGGGAAUCUCUCCGCUUUGCCCUCCGCACCCCUGUUGCUGCACUCACCUCCGCGGCUCCCGUGAAGUUUGUUUAGAUCUGGAUCCAAACACAGUAAUAAGACAUUUUUGAGACAGUCAGAAAAGUUUCAACACAGACUUCUGAUAGACGAUAUUAACAUAUUAUUAUAAAAUUGUCUUAGAUAUUUAUGUGGUUAUAUUUUUAUUAAUUCCUCAUCCAUUAGAGAUACAGAAUUCAUGCACGGAAAAAUUUGCUGUCUGAGAUUUGCAUAAAGUAAAAAGGGGGAAGAUGAGGGGCAUAGAUGAAAGAAGAAUGGGGACAUUUUGAAAUUAUUGAAUUGCGUGAUGGGCAUUUUCUACACUCUCUAUUUUAUGUAUAAAAUGUUUAGUUUGUUUUUAAAGAAACUUCUACACCUGUCCAGGUGGAGAUGGUGGUGACUUGGACAGAAUGGUUAUGGUAAAGGAAGGAGAGAAGAUCAGAUUCAGGGUAUAUUUUCUAGGUAAAGCUGACAACUUGCUGGUGGAUAAAAUGUAAAAGAAAGAAUCAAGGCAAAACCUGGUCCAGUGACCACCACCCAUUCAAGCUGUAUAAAAUAAGGCUGGAGGGCUUCCCUGGUGGCGCAGUGGUUGAGAGUCCGCCUGCCGAUGCAGGGGACACGGGUUCGUGCCCUGGUCCGGGAAGAUCCCACAUGCUGCGGAGCGGCUGGGCCCGUGAGCUGUGAUCGCUGAGCCUGUGCGUCUGGAACCUGUGCUCCGCAACGGGAGAGGCCACAGCAGUGAGAGGCCCGCGUAUGGCAAAAAAAAACUGGUUAGAACUAGUUAGGUCCAAGAUGGCGGAAGAUUCAACUUCCAGUAGACCCUGAGCCUCAUUCUAUGCUCAUUGUAAUACAUUAGCAUAUGCUAAAUGACACACCCACAGGGGCCACGACAGUUCCGAGGCUGACCAUAAAAGCCCAAAAAGGGCGAUGGUCCAGUUCCUAGAAAUCUCUGUCCCUUCUCCAAAAUAGGUGGAAUAAUCCUCCCACUUCUUAGCCUGUGAAAUUUCCCAGCCCAUAAAAACUAACCACCCCAUAUCUUGGGGCCACUCUCACCUUCUGAGAUGGUCUGCAUCCUGCCUAUGGAAUGUGUAUCUCUCUAAAUAAACUUGCUUUCACUUUA